UGUACCCAUAAAGAAUUUUGGUAUGAUGAAAAUUUGGUCAAGAAAAUUCCUCUAGGUAGUCAAGUUCUGAUCCAG
rnacentral:snoRNA from 1 species